rnacentral:rRNA from 1 species
AAUAUAUCGGAACGUGCCCAGUCGUGGGGGAUAACGUAGCGAAAGUUACGCUAAUACCGCAUACGAUCUAAGGAUGAAAGCGGGGGAUCGCAAGACCUCGCGCGAUUGGAGCGGCCGAUAUCAGAUUAGGUAGUUGGUGGGGUAAAGGCUCACCAAGCCAACGAUCUGUAGCUGGUCUGAGAGGACGACCAGCCACACUGGAACUGAGACACGGUCCAGACUCCUACGGGAGGCAGCAGUGGGGAAUUUUUGGACAAUGGGCGCAAGCCUGAUCCAGCAAUGCCGCGUGCAGGAUGAAGGCCUUCGGGUUGUAAACUGCUUUUGUACGGAACGAAACGGUGAGCUCUAAUACAGUUUGCUAAUGACGGUACCGUAAGAAUAAGCACCGGCUAACUACGUG